rnacentral:rRNA from 1 species
CCUACGGGAGGCAGCAGUAGGGAAUAUUGCUCAAUGGGGGAAACCCUGAAGCAGCAACGCCGCGUGGGGGAUGAAGGUUUUCGGCUUGUAAAGUCCUUUUGUUAGAGAAGAUAAUGACGGUAUCUAACGAAUAAGCACCGGCUAACUACGUGCCAGCAGCCGCGGUAAUACGGAGGGUGCAAGCGUUACUCGGAAUCACUGGGCGUAAAGAGCGCGUAGGCGGGAUGGCAAGUCAGAUGUGAAAUCCUCGGGCUUAACCAUAGAACUGCUUUUGAAACUGUUAGUCUAGAGUAUGGGAGGGGGAGGUGGAAUUCGUGGUGCAGGGGUAAAAUCCGGAGAUAUCAAGAGGAAUACUCAUUGCGAAGGCGACCUGCUAGAACAUAACUGACGCUGAUGCGCGAAAGCGUGGGGAGCAAACAGGAUUAGAUACCCCAGUAGUC